rnacentral:tRNA from 1 species
UGGGGUUGUGUCUCAGCGGUAGAGCACUCGCCUACCAUGUGCGAGGUGCUGGGUUCGAGCCUCAGCACCACAA